AAAGGAAUAUUUUGUUUUAUUUUUUAUUAAUUUCAACACUGGGGAGACUCCAGAUGAUAUCUGGAACAAAUCCAGUACUAUACAUAUACGCACAAAAGGGAGGUAUAUCAACCAUCUCGAUACAAAAGACAGGCUUACAUGAAUACAAACAUGCAUAUAAUCCAUGAUGCUAUUACUUUGAUCAUAACAUGGUACUUUUUAGAAAUUUUUAAAGGAUCGUAGGCAAAAGCAUCAUUCAGUCGAUAGUGGGAUGGGUAGAAGAGUCGGUUAAUGUGCCCAUCCAUGCAGGUGGUAGCAUUCCAGUUUGCUCCUGAACAGUCUUAAACAAAGGAGGCAACAUCUUAUAAACCCCAGCAACCUCCUUCAUAGCUCCUUCAUUAAUCUCCCCACCAUUCCCAUUACUCCAAAUGCUGAUCUUUGGCUGCAGUCCUCGAAUAGCCUCAGCAUUAACCUUCGCAAUUUCUUGAAACAUUCCACCAUUAAUCAUCAAGAAAUCCCUCAGGGCACUAUAGUUGCCGCCCAAUGCAUCGAGAAGGGUUCGUAGAUACACGCCUUGUGCUUGGGCUAGAGCCACCAUUCCUUCAGCCUCUUUCUGCUUAGCAUAUAACUCUCCAUCGGCAACUUGCUGACGUGCGUAAAAUGCAGCAUCUGCAAUUGCCUUUUGAGCCUCUGCCUCUUUCUCCUUUUCAUAAAGAAUUGCUUCUGCUGUUUUCUGUUUCUUGUAGAGGUCCCAGUUCGCUUCUUGCACCUUGGUCUCGUACUCCACACUAGCUUUGCUCAAAAACUCUGCUUUUAGCUUCUCAGUUCUGGUCAAAGCAUUCAUCCUCUCCACGUCCCUCUGUAGCUCAGCCUCCCUCAGUGAAACUGCUUUUGUUGCUUCCACUUCUGCCACCUGUGCCUCCUUGGUCCAUCCUGCCUUCUUCUUGGCCAACUCUGCGUUCGCCUCCGCCACCUCUGCCUCUCUUUGGUUCUCAUAAAUCUUAACCUGAGUCUUCACCUUUAUCUCCUCCUUCUUCCCUUCUCCUUGUCUCUGUGUUGAUACUAUCUUCGUCUCCGCAUCGAUUUUCGCUGCAUUUUGCAGUGUUUGUCCGUCCCUUUCUUUUGACCCUAUCUCUCCUUUCAUUUUUGCCUCUGCUACAUCAACUUUAGCUUGAUUUGCAGCCUCCAUUUGAGUCUUUUGACCCAAAUAAGAGAAGUACUCGUGUCCAGGGACAUCAACUAGUUGUUUAACAUUAGCGUUGUAUAUUAAUAAUCCAAACUGGUUAAGUUCAAGCUGAACUUUCUCAAAAACUUCUUGUUUAAACUCUUUGGUUCCUCUGAAAAUCUCUUCCAUGGUCAUGGAAGCAGCAAGAACUCUAGUUUCUCCUUCGAUGAUGCCCUGGACGAGCUCCUUGACAUGGUGAGAGAGCUUGUCAUGCGGAGAGAUAAGCUUUGCAUAUCUCAGAAGGCUCAGCUCGUCGUCUGCGCGAGGACCAAUUGUGAAAACAGCAGGGAGGACAAAAGGGAGCUUCUCUGCGCUCAUGGCUUGGACUUCAAAAGUGUAGUUGACAGGCGAGACAUCAAAGACAGAACAGGACUGGCCUGGGAGGACCCAUGCUUUCUUUGCAAGCUUUACGUCUGAGAUACCAACGCCGGUAAUCACCAGAUACUCUGAGGGGCUUGCAACUCUAUACAUGAUUCUCUAUACAGAAGCAGAAACAGGAGGAGAAAAAAUGUUACGAUGAACUAGCCGAUGAGUGGAAAAUAUAUACAUCAAUGGGAUGAUAGUGGAGAAAGAAUAUUUAUCCUGAGUUAUUACAAUGGGGGAUGAUAGUGGAGAAAGAAUAUUUAUCCUGAGUUAUUACAAUGG
rnacentral:misc_RNA from 1 species